GGCACGGUAGCUUAGUGGUUAGCACAUUUGCCUCGCACCUCCUGGGGUUGGGGGUUCGAUUCCCACCUCCGCCC